AUACACAUACAUGAUACACCACAUAUGUAACAGAUCUGAAGGAAGGACACGCCGUUGUAGAAACCAUCCCAAAGUGGACAGAGCACAUGGCAGCACUCAGGCUUGUCGAAUCCUCUCAAACAAUUGAACCCAUGUCAGCACGGAGGAUGGACAUUAAAAGGUGAAGAUAAUUGUUGUAGGAGCUUUGUCCUUCCAUCUGGCACUACAUGGAGUCAUUUGACUGCGGCCAUGCUGGAGUGCCGCCUUAAAGGGUUUUUGGUCAAAGAAAUGAACCCCAGGACUUAUUCUGUUUGUCCCUUUUGCUGAACUGUUAAGUUACGGGACAAGAACACACCAACAUCAGUUGUCAAGUGACGGCAGGGAGACAACCAAAGACUCACACACACACACACAUAUAUAUAUAUAUAUACACACACACACAUACAUAUAUUUAUGCGACAUGCAGCUUUUAGUUUCCGUCUACCAAAUCCACACACAAGGCUUUGGUUGGCCAGAGGCUACAACAGAAGACACAUGCCCAAGGUACCACACUGUGGGACUGAACCUAGAACCAUCUGGUUGAGAAAUAAGCUUCUUACCACACAGCCAUGCCCCAGCUAAAAUUAUUUUACUGAAUUUUUAGUUUAAAAAAAAAAAAAUCAGUUGAAACAAUGUGUACAUAUUUCAACAGAAAUUGGUAAUGUGAGGGUGAGACUAGCAUUUUGAAUCAUAAAUUAACAUGAAAUUUUGAUAAAAGGUUGUUAUUUAGAUCACUUUAAAAAGGAAGUUUGUAUGGUUGACCCAAGGGGUGACCCCGGUUGGUUUUAUAUCAGAAGUGUUAACACCUGUCAUUUAUCUUCCCUUCCUUAUUACAUGAUCUUAUCAGCAGUCAUCCCUCUAAAUACAUCAAUUGAUAACUUUUACUAAAUAAUCUUCCUCAAUUCCCAUACCACCAUUUAAAACCCGCCUUUUAGUGCGAUAUUUCUGUCCAAAUACACUGUCUUGGUUUUGAUUAAUUCUGAAUAUAAUGAAGAACUUAGUGAAAUGACUUUGUCACUAUUAAGUGGUUUUUAGGACAUAAAUUAACUUGAAAUUUUAAUUAAAAGUUUUAAUUUAUGUAACUUUAACCAUCUCCUUACCAUAUUUUUGUUGAAAUACUUUACCUUUGAAUCAGUUAGUUUUGAAAAUAAUGAAAAUUGAUGAAAACAAUUUUGUCAUUGUGAAGCUUGUAAGGUAAAUUAACAUGAAAUUUUUAUGCAAGGUUAUAAUUUAAAUUAUUUUAACCUCCUAGCAUUUAAACUGGUCAUAUCUGACCUAAAUAUUCUACUUGUUUUAUGUUCAAAGUGGCCAGAUCUGACAUCUCGUAUUAACCCUACAAUGUCAUUCUAAAAAUCCACAAUCACCUCAUCUAAAUCCCAAGGCUAUGAGAUAAUGCAGGAUUAAUUCAAAACAAUCUGAAUAAACAACCAUUACGUUUGACAGAGUAAUCUAAAUAUUAAUGGGUUAAAACGAAAAGUUAGUAUCCUACAAUCAGGGGCCAUAUCAGACAGUUUGGUGUCAAAGGGUUUAAGCUCCCUAUAUCCCAUCCCAUCCAUUACUUUUCAUUCCCAUUUAAAAUUUUUCUUUUUCUUAAAACAAGGUGAUUUUAAGCAGAUAAGG